CGCGAGUCGGUGGCGCCCCCAGCCUCUCGCCUCGUGCUUUAGAAGUGACGGACGCGCGGAUUUUUCGUUCCGUAUAUUUUAUUAAAUUUUUGUGUUAAAUUUUUUCAAAACUGUACAAAAAAGUGAAUAACCUUGCUCCACAGUAACUUUGCUACGCGUAUUAGUCAUAAUCAAGUAUAUUUACAAACGUAUCGAGAGAAGUAGAGGUAAAAAGUAAAAUUGCGCCAAUUCGUAACCGACAACAGCCAUCUUGUCCUCGUGGCGCGGCGUGGCGUUUCAAUUUUGCAUUUUCGUUCGCGUUUUAUAAACUUUUUCGUAGAAAAUUGGCUUUCGGUCAGGCAUACGAUUGAUAUUGUGAAAGUGUUAUCAAGACGGUAAAGGUUAUGGCGGAAUUUGGCGGAAUUUGGCGGACUGUGAUUACGAGAGACGCUGCAAUCCUUGGGGACUCUUAACGUCGGCUUUGAUCGUCUUACAACAAGCAACAGGUCCGCCAUGUUUGUUCGUCUCAUUGUCAGGUAAGUGAGCGAAGAGGAAAUGAACUGCCCCCGGCUUGGCCCGUGGCAUUAAGUUCCGAGGAUUUAAGCGAGGGGCGUGGAUCUGACGGGUGGAUGGUGAAAAGAGUGCAAAGGUCGAAGGUGGAGCCUCUCGAAGGUACUGACAGUUGACUGAUGAGACCCUCUCGAGCCACAACUAUUCGCCAUCGUUUCCCGCAAGAAGUUGAAGCUCGUUAAUCGACCCACUGUAGCCUGUUUCCCGUGGAACGCGCUUAAUAGGGUCCCUCCUGAAAUACUGUCGGAUUGUUAUUCAAUUUUCGAGCAAGCCAGCA